UAAGAAGGAAAGAACUAGAUUAAGGUUUACAAAAGUUAGGCUCUCAGAUCAAACAGGUCGAAAUCUUGAGCUCAGGGGAAUAAUAGAAGGUAUCUUUGACAUAAAAAUUUUGCUUUGUCUGCUGUAUGUGAGCCAGGAAAAGCUGAGGGGAAAAAAAAACCCUUUAAAUACCUUUUUCUAAAAUGCUUUCCUGCCUGCAUCGACUAAUCAAGUAAAUCAGACAAACAAAUAAAAAGAUAAAUUUAUUGCCGGAAUUCAAGGCCACCGGGGUAUUUUGUUUUUCUACACAAUUUAGUUGGUGCUAUCUAAAAUGAAAAUGUUUGAAUAUUUAACCUCUGUACCAGUUUAAAACUUGAAGGAGAAAAAGAGGUUUCUAAAAAUCAAACUGCUGUGGAAACUGCUUUACCCAAAGCUUUGGUCCACAGCCUUCAUAAGAUCACCUAUCAGGGCAAAUAAAAUUUAGCCAUGUGAACAGGUCCCAUUUUGUCAGAAAUAUAAUUUGGAUUCAACUGUCCUUUUAUAAACUGAUCUGAUCAGAACCUGAAUUCUCCUAAUUUUCUUCAAUAUUUGGCUGCAACUCUCCAACUAAGAGCAAAAACUGCUCUGUGCUUGCCGCCUUAGAAGAUGAAGCUAGACAACUUGAUAUAAAUUUCAAGAGACAAGUCUCAUACCCGAAAAAAGAAGGACAAGUCUUGUGCCACACAGAAAGUUCACCAAUCCACCUGAUACCAUAGCAGAGAAUUCAAACUGCAAGCCAAGA
rnacentral:lncRNA from 1 species